rnacentral:misc_RNA from 1 species
GAUGAAGAACGUAGCGAAACGCGAUACGUAAUGUGAAUUGCAGAAUUCAGUGAAUCAUCGAAUCUUUGAACGCACCUUGCGCCCCUCGGCAUUCCGAGGGGCAUGCCUGUUUGAGUGUCACGGAUCCUUCGAACCCCGCCGGUCUCCGACGAGCCGGCCGCCUGGGUUCGGUCCUGGGCGCUACGCCACCCCUCCGGGGCUGGCCCGCAUCAAAAGCAUCAGCUGGGCCUCGCGGCGUGGGCGGGCUCCGAUCGGCGUGAUAAGUCAUCUGCCGAGAGGGUGCCCGUCCGUCCCGCGGAUCGCGGUCCGCUCCCAACCCCUCCCCGCGCGCCGUCCCCCCCCGGGGAGCGCGCGGGGACGUUUCGACGCUCUGGCCUCAAAUCAGGUAGGACCACCCGCUGAACUUAAGCAUAUCAAUAAGCGGAGGA